GGUCAGCAUCAGUUUUGGCCGGUGGAUAAAGGCUUAGAGAAUGUGGCCCUCUUCGGGGGGUGUUAUAGCUCUAGGUGCAAUGUAGCCUACUUGGACUGAGGACCGCGCUUCGGCUAGGAUGCUGGCGUAAUGGUUGUAAGCGA
rnacentral:rRNA from 1 species